GAUGAACGCUGGCGGCGUGCUUAACACAUGCAAGUCGAACGAUGAAGCCCAGCUUGCUGGGUGGAUUAGUGGCGAACGGGUGAGUAACACGUGAGUAACCUGCCCUUAACUCUGGGAUAAGCCUGGGAAACUGGGUCUAAUACCGGAUAGGAGCGUCCACCGCAUGGUGGGUGUUGGAAAGAUUUAUCGGUUUUGGAUGGACUCGCGGCCUAUCAGCUUGUUGGUGAGGUAAUGGCUCACCAAGGCGACGACGGGUAGCCGGCCUGAGAGGGUGACCGGCCACACUGGGACUGAGACACGGCCCAGACUCCUACGGGAGGGAGCAGUGGGGAAUAUUGCACAAUGGGCGCAAGCCUUAUGCCGCGACGCCGCGUGAGGGAUGAAGGCCUUCGGGUUGUAAACCUCUUUCAGUAGGGAAGAAGCGAAAGUGACGGUACCUGGCGAAGAAGCACCGGCUAACUACGUG
rnacentral:rRNA from 1 species